UCGACACAGCUCUCACAGACCGUUCCCCAACUCGUCAAAUACCGACGCUUUGUCACAGCCCUCAACGUCAGAUACAUAAGCACAA